CCUACGGGUGGCAGCAGUGGGGAAUAUUGCGCAAUGGGGGCAACCCUGACGCAGCAACGCCGCGUGAUUGAAGAAUGCCUUCGGGUUGUAAAGAUCUUUAAUCGGGGACGAAUUUUGACGGUACCCGAAGAAUAAGCUCCGGCUAACUACGUGCCAGCAGCCGCGGUAAUACGUAGGGAGCAAGCGUUAUCCGGAUUUACUGGGUGUAAAGGGGGUGUAGGCGGGCGUGCAAGCCAGUAGUGAAAGCUGGGGGCUUAACCCCCAAACUGCUUUUGGAACGGCGUGUUUUGAGUGAGGGGGGGGCGGGGGAAUUCCCGGUGUAGCGGUGAAAUGCGUAGAUAUUGGGAAGAACACCAGUGGCGAAGGCGGCCUGCUGGACAUUAACUGACGCUGAGGCGCGAAAGCGUGGGGAGCAAACAGGAUUAGAUACCCGGGUAGUC
rnacentral:rRNA from 1 species